rnacentral:rRNA from 1 species
AAGCGUUGUUCGGAAUUAUUGGGCGUAAAGCGCGUGUAGGCGGUCUKUUAAGUCUGAUGUGAAAGCCCCGGGCUCAACCUGGGAAGUGCAUUGGAUACUGGSAGACUUGARUACGGGAGAGGRYAGUGGAAUYCCUAGUGUAGGAGUGAAAUCCGUAGAUAUYAGGAGGAACACCGGUGGCGAAGGCGGCUGCCUGGACCGAUAUUGACGCUGAGACGCGAAAGCGUGGGGAGCAAACAGGAUUAGAUACCCUGGUAGUCCACGCCGUAAACGAUGAGUACUAGGUGUUGCGGGUAUUGACCCCUGCAGUGCC